rnacentral:rRNA from 1 species
GACGAACGCUGGCGGCGUGCUUAACACAUGCAAGUCGAACGGAAAGGCCCUGCUUUUGUGGGGUGCUCGAGUGGCGAACGGGUGAGUAACACGUGAGUAACCUGCCCUUGACUUUGGGAUAACUUCAGGAAACUGGGGCUAAUACCGGAUAGGAGCUCCUGCUGCAUGGUGGGGGUUGGAAAGUUUCGGCGGCUGGGGAUGGACUCGCGGCUUAUCAGCUUGUUGGUGGGGUAGUGGCUUACCAAGGCUUUGACGGGUAGCCGGCCUGAGAGGGUGACCGGCCACAUUGGGACUGAGAUACGGCCCAGACUCCUACGGGAGGCAGCAGUGGGGAAUAUUGCACAAUGGGCGGAAGCCUGAUGCAGCAACGCCGCGUGCGGGAUGACGGCCUUCGGGUUGUAAACCGCUUUCGCCUGUGACGAAGCGUGAGUGACGGUAAUGGGUAAAGAAGCACCGGCUAACUACGUGCCAGCAGCCGCGGUGAUACGUAGGGUGCGAGCGUUGUCCGGAUUUAUUGGGCGUAAAGGGCUCGUAGGUGGUUGAUCGCGUCGGAAGUGUAAUCUUGGGGCUUAACCCUGAGCGUGCUUUCGAUACGGGUUGACUUGAGGAAGGUAGGGGAGAAUGGAAUUCCUGGUGGAGCGGUGGAAUGCGCAGAUAUCAGGAGGAACACCAGUGGCGAAGGCGGUUCUCUGGGCCUUUCCUGACGCUGAGGAGCGAAAGCGUGGGGAGCGAACAGGCUUAGAUACCCUGGUAGUCCACGCUGUAAACGGUGGGUACUAGGUGUGGGGUCCAUUCCACGGGUUCCGUGCCGUAGCUAACGCUUUAAGUACCCCGCCUGGGGAGUACGGCCGCAAGGCUAAAACUCAAAGGAAUUGACGGGGCCCCGCACAAGCGGCGGAGCAUGCGGAUUAAUUCGAUGCAACGCGUAGAACCUUACCUGGGUUUGACAUGGAUCGGGAGCGCUCAGAGAUGGGUGUGCCUCUUUUGGGGUCGGUUCACAGGUGGUGCAUGGCUGUCGUCAGCUCGUGUCGUGAGAUGUUGGGUUAAGUCCCGCAACGAGCGCAACCCUUGUUCACUGUUGCCAGCACGUUAUGGUGGGGACUCAGUGGAGACCGCCGGGGUCAACUCGGAGGAAGGUGGGGAUGACGUCAAGUCAUCAUGCCCCUUAUGUCCAGGGCUUCACGCAUGCUACAAUGGCUGGUACAGAGAGUGGCGAGCCUGUGAGGGUGAGUGAAUCUCGGAAAGCCGGUCUCAGUUCGGAUUGGGGUCUGCAACUCGACCUCAUGAAGUCGGAGUCGCUAGUAAUCGCAGAUCAGCAACGCUGCGGUGAAUACGUUCCCGGG